CCUACGGGUGGCAGCAGUGAGGAAUAUUGGUCAAUGGGCGCGAGCCUGAACCAGCCAAGUAGCGUGAAGGAUGACUGCCCUACGGGUUGUAAACUUUUUUUAUAAAGGAAUAAAGUGAGGCUCGUGUGCCUUUUUGUAUGUACUUUACGAAUAAGGAACGGCUAACUCCGCGCCAGCAGCCGCGGGAAUACGGAGGAUCCGAGCGUUAUCCGGAUUUAUUGGGUGUAAAGGGAGCGUAGAUGGGUUGUUAAGUCAGUUGUGAAAGUUUGCGGCUCAACCGUAAAAUUGCAAUUGAUACUGGCAGCCUUGAGUGCAGUUGAGGUAGGCGGAAUUCGUGGUGUAGCGGUGAAAUGCUUAGAUAUCACGAAGAACUCCGGUUGCGAAGGCAGCUUACUAAACUGCCACUGACAUUGAUGCUCGAAAGUGUGGGUAUCAAACAGGAUUAGAUACCCCAGUAGUC
rnacentral:rRNA from 1 species